CAAUCUGGAGGCCCCGCGUUUCUUUUUGCACCGCGGGAAGCGCGUGCGCGGGGAGUGCUGCUUACCCCUCCCCCACAGCCUUCAACAUGGCGCCUCGAAGUGCGCCAACCUGAGCGUAAAUAACCCUUAAAUAAAAAAUAUUAAAAAAAAUAGACAAAAGGCGAAGUACUUUUGAGCGCUGUCGUUGUCCAGCGGCGACUUUACCCGCGCGUCUUGUGGUUUUGAGUCCCCCCCCUUCAUAAAAAAAAAAAAAAGAAAACACGCCACUCGUUGAGCGGGGUUAGCAUAGCCGCGGCUAGCACGGCGACAAACAUGGUGUCGGUUACAAUAUUAGACAGUAUCUUGUACGUUAUUUGGCCGGCUGGUGGGUUCUUUAACCGAACAGUGCGUCUUUUGGAAGUCGGUGUUCGGCGUGGGGACGAGCAUGCGGUCGGAAGUUGAGGCUAGCUAUGCUAAGCUAACCAGGCUAAAAGCGCGGCCUAAGCUUGCCCCAUGUGCUGCCGCUUUGUUCUGGGGGGCACUUUAACUCACACACCACCGCACUCCACACGGACCCGUCCCGGUUAAAACCAGAUGACGCGGAGCUGCCACCGUGACUCGGUGCUCUCAGGAGCCGGCAGAGAAGCGUCUCUGGCGGCCGAGACGCUCACGGAGGCUGACAGGAUGGACUCCAGGGUGACAGCCCGGCAUGAGCUCGUAAUGACGGCCAGCAGGAUGGCGGCAGCACCGUGGAUCCAUGGGAGUCUUCUCCCCCACAUCACGGGACCGAAUCCACGCGGGGGGUCCCUAUCAUAACAGGCAGCGGCGGGGGGUCAACAUGUGUGUGGUCCCUUGCCCGUGGUGCGUUCAGGUGCAUAUCCCGAGAUGCCAUCAACUUUCACGCGGCUUUCCACAUUGGGAGAGUAGUACACAAAUAAAUACGUUAAAAAAAAUAAAUUAAAAAAAACUUGUCGCGGGACCGCCGCACAUCCACGCGGCGAAGAGCGGGAGUGUGCGCGGAGAUGCGCGGCCGUCAGCUGAGCGGAGGGCCCGCCCAUUCGCCGGCUCUUGCCGUGGAGGAGAGAUGUGACGUUCGCGAACGAACUGAGUCUUUUGAACGGCUCUUUUAAGUGAACAGUGACAACCGAUUCCCACUUGUAAGCUGUUUUUUUAUGCACGUUCAAAUUUAGUGUCAGCAAUUUCGUCGAGAAAAUGAGUCAGAAUAAAAAUGAAAAAAAUCGAGCAGCAUUUAAA